CCUACGGGAGGCAGCAGUGGGGAAUAUUGGGCAAUGGGCGCAAGCCUGACCCAGCAACGCCGCGUGAAGGAAGAAGGCUUUCGGGUUGUAAACUUCUUUUGACAGGGAAGAGCAGAAGACGGUACCUGUCGAAUAAGCCACGGCUAACUACGUGCCAGCAGCCGCGGUAAUACGUAGGUGGCAAGCGUUGUCCGGAUUUACUGGGUGUAAAGGGCGUGUAGCCGGGCUGACAAGUCAGAUGUGAAAUACGGGGGCUCAACCCCCGAACUGCAUUUGAAACUGUUGGUCUUGAGUAUCGGAGAGGCAGGCGGAAUUCCUAGUGACGCGGUGAAAUGCGUAGAUAUUAGGAGGAACACCAGUGGCGAAGGCGGCCUGCUGGACGACAACUGACGGUGAGGCGCGAAAGCGUGGGGAGCAAACAGGAUUAGAUACCCUAGUAGUC
rnacentral:rRNA from 1 species